rnacentral:rRNA from 1 species
AUUGAACGCUGGCGGCAGGCCUAACACAUGCAAGUCGAGCGGAGCGGCGGACGGGUGAGUAAUGCCUAGGAAUCUGCCUGGUAGUGGGGGAUAACGUUCGGAAACGGGCGCUAAUACCGCAUACUAUCAGAUGAGCCUAGGUCGGAUUAGCUAGUUGGUGGGGUAAAGGCUUACCAAGGCGACGAUCCGUAACUGGUCUGAGAGGAAGAUCAGGCACACUGCAACUGAGACACGGGCCAGACUCCUACGGAAGGCAGCAGUGGGGAAUAUUCGACCAUGGGCGAAUGCCUGAUCCAGCCAUGCCGCGUGUGUGAAGAAGGUCUUCGGGUUGUAAAGUACUUUCAGCGGGGAGGCGUUACCCGCAGAAGAAGCACCGGCUGACUCCGUGCCAGCAGCCGCGGUAAUAC